AAUUGUUCUGAGGGCCACAAAUGGGCCCGGUGCCGCACUUUGGACACCCCCGGUUUAGACUCUGUUCU